UCAGUUCGGAUUGUAGUCUGCAACCCGACUACAUGAGGCUGGAAUCGCUAGUAAUCGCGAAUCAGAAUGUCGCGGUGAAUACGUUCCCGGGUCUUGUACACACCGCCCGUCACACCAUGGGAGUCGGAUAUGCCCGAAGCCGGUGACCUAACCGCAAGGAAGGAGCCGUCGAAGGUGGAGCCGAUGACUGGGGUGAAGUCGUAACAAGGUAGC
rnacentral:rRNA from 1 species